CAGAGUUAGCUAUGGAAACUCCUGUCUUGCCUCUCUGUCUCCUAUUGCUAUGGAUCUCAGAUGUCACUGGAGAAACUAUGACACAGUUUCCUGCCUCCCUUAGUUUUUCUCAAGGUGAAACAGCAACCCUGACAUGCAGAUCCAUUCAGAGUGUUGGUAGCUACUUAUCCUGGUACCAACAGAAACCAAUGCAGGUUCCCAAGCUCCUUAUUUAUGGUUCGUCUACCAAGGCCAGGGAUGUCCCAGCCCGGUUCAGUGGCAGUGGCUCUGGGACAGACUUUACUCUUACCAUCAGCAAUCUGGAACCUGAAGAUGCUGCCAGUUACUACUGUCAGUCAAUGAGUGGUUGGUCAUCCACAGUGAUUCACCAUGUGACAAAAACCUCAAAGAGACCACAGAGUAUUUAA